GUCCACGCCCUAAACUAUGGACACUAAGUGUAGCCGGCGAAGGCCGGCUGUGCCGCAGCUAACGCAGUAAGUGUCCCGCCUGGGGAGUACGGCCGCAAGGUUGAAACUCAAAGGAAUUGACGGGGGCCCCGCACAAGCGGUGGAGCAUGUGGUUCAAUUCGACGCAACGCGAAGAACCUUACCUGGGUUUGACAUGCAGAUGGUACCGAACUGAAAAGGGAGGGACCCCGCAAGGGGAGUCUGCACAGGUGCUGCAUGGCUGUCGU
rnacentral:rRNA from 1 species